UUUUUGAAUCCUUAUUUUGCUACAUGGUUAAGAGUAUGCGACUGAUUACUGGACUGACUGACUGAAGGACGUUUAAAUUGAGUGAAUAGUUGUUUAAGCUAAUUAAGAGGGAUGAAGUGAUUAA